rnacentral:rRNA from 1 species
UACGAAGGGGGCUAGCGUUGUUCGGAAUUACUGGGCGUAAAGCGCGCGUAGGCGGAUUUGCCAGUCAGGGGUGAAAUGCCAGGGCUUAACCUUGGAACUGCCUUUGAUACUGCAAGUCUGGAGUACGGGAGAGGUGAGUGGAAUUCCGAGUGUAGAGGUGAAAUGCGUAGAUAUCAGGAGGAACACCUGCGGUGUAGACGGCUUUCUGGACCAUUGCUGACGCUGAGACACGAAAGCGUGGGUAGCAAACAGG